rnacentral:sRNA from 1 species
GUUAUUUGACUGGAGUGAGGUCUCAUGUCUGCUUAUGCGGUGGCUCGCUGCUCAGAACAGGAUGGCAGAGAUGAGCACCACCAUCAAAAACUCAAGGACCAGUGCUGUGGGUCCAGUCAUCUGUUUCAUGGAAUUCACCAGUCUGGUAUCUUCAAAAUCCAGAAGGAUGAUGGCAGAUGGCAGGAAAGUAAUGCAAACGUCAUCAGGUGUGACCCCACUGUAGCAGCUGUGAUGGAUGUUUUCUCUCACCAUAGCAAUAAAUAACACAACCUCGGUCACACUGUAUGCAUUGUUGGUCUGCAAAAUCCAUGUUUUGCAAAACUCUUCAGGAAGGUGGAUCUGUAAUAUUGGCAUUGACAUGAGAACAACAGCAGUAUUUAUUCACAAUCUCAAGCUCUCUGUCUUCCCGUCUCUCUCAUUAGCCAUCCAAGUAGUCCUGAGGAACCAAGCCCAUCAGAACAUUCUGCAACAUAAUACACAGCUCCAUUCUCCAUUCAAAUUUUGUUGUUGUUGUUGUUGUUGAUGAGACAACAUCUUACUCCAUCAGCCAGGCUGACGUACAGUGGGGCUAUCUGGGCUGACUGUAGUCUUGAGCUUCCAGGCUCAAGGCAUCCUCUCACCUCAGCCUCCUAAGUGGCUUGAACUACAGACACACAGCGACAUGCUGGGCUAGUUUUUGUAUAUUUUGUAGAGACGUGCUCUCACCAUGUUAUUCAGGCUGGACUCAAACUCCUGAGCGUAAGUGAUCCAAGCACCUUGGCCUCAAAGUGCUGAGAUUACAAGCCUGAGCCACUGCACCCAGCCCAAUCUCCAUUCUACUGAUAACAAUGUCAUUACCAGGUCUGAUGGACAGGAAAUGGUAAGGUUUCUGAAAACCUAAGGAUCACACAGCGAGUUCCAAAGGCUGAAAGUGCAUACCUGUCGACACUGAUACCAAUGACAUCCAAUGGAACCAUUGGAGAUACUCAUUACUCUUUGAAGGCUUACAGUGGAAUGAAUUCAAAUACGACUUAUUUGAGGAAUUGAAGUUGACUUUAUGGAGCUGAUAAGAAUCUUCUUGGAGAAAAAAAGACUGGAUCUUUCAUUGUAGUACUUCUGAAUUAACCAAAAUCACAGUAUUCUGAAGAUGAUUCUACAAAGCCUGCUGUUUCUACAAAGGCUGCUGAUGAUUUCUACAAAGCCUGCUGUAGUGUUGCUGUGGCCUCUGCUUAAAAAAGUAGAAAACACAUUGAUGCAGCAUGUUCACCCCAACCUCCCUGCCUAAAGGCUCAGGGACCAUCUUGGAAGAGGAAGGCGCGUGAGAUUGUAAGAGCCGAAUUAGGGGGAUGGAGUGUGGAGAAUAAGGACACUUCAUCUUGGAUGCUCACCUGCCAAAUUGACUUCUGAUGAAAGCCAGCUCCAGAAAUGUGCCUACAGUUACUACUUUCACCUAAACCCUGCCCUUAGUCAAAUCCUUCUCUUCUUCUAAGCAAUCAACUUCAAUUCCUUGUAUAACCCACAGUAUAAAAGGGCUUUUAUACCAUUCUAUCCUAUUGCAUGUAAGCCUUGGGUCUGGGAGGUAACAGUGUGGGAUUCCACCAUCUCAUCUCCCUGCCACCCAAACAUGCCUGCUCUUCUUUAAGCAAUAUUAAAUGUUUGUACUUCAGAAA